rnacentral:rRNA from 1 species
AGCGAACGCUGGCGGCAGGCCUAACACAUGCAAGUCGAACGAACUCUUCGGAGUUAGUGGCGGACGGGUGAGUAACACGUGGGAACGUGCCUUUUGGUUCGGAAUAACUCAGGGAAACUUGUGCUAAUACCGAAUGUGCCCUUCGGGGGAAAGAUUUAUCGCCAUUAGAGCGGCCCGCGUCUGAUUAGCUAGUUGGUGAGGUAACGGCUCACCAAGGCGACGAUCAGUAGCUGGUCUGAGAGGAUGACCAGCCACACUUGGACUGAGACACGGCCCAGACUCCUACGGGAGGCAGCAGUGGGGAAUCUUGCGCAAUGGGCGAAAGCCUGACGCAGCCAUGCCGCGUGAAUGAUGAAGGUCUUAGGAUUGUAAAAUUCUUUCACCGGGGACGAUAAUGACGGUACCCGGAGAAGAAGCCCCGGCUAACUUCGUG